UCAGAGGCUUUUGUUUUUUAUAAAGCCACCCAUUUUUACAUGGAGAAAAUAU
rfam:Callithrix jacchus chromosome 16, whole genome shotgun sequence